UUUAGAUAUUUUUUUUAGAACCCACUUGUUUUGAGAGUCCCUUGAGUUUCCACUGUAAGGGUGGUUUUCCUUGCCCUUCCAGGCAGGGAAAAUCGCCCUCAACUUCUCUCAACUGGAUGUGGUCGCCCCUCCUCAUAUCUGGUGGAGUUGUAUAGUUUUUGUUCUUCUGGUGGAGGAGCUUGGAUUUAAGAGAGGACUGUUUAUUUUUCUCCUUUUUUAUUGAUUGAUGUAUAUUUAAAAUUUUUUUCUUAGAUCUGUGUUUGUUAUGUUCAGGUGGUGCAGGAGUCUCGCGAUUUGGGAGUAGUGACUUUCUCUGUGCAGGUCAUCGUUGAGAUGAGGCUCAUAUUCAUGGUAGUGGUGAGAGUGCAAAUUAACUAAGGAGGAUUUGUCCUUUGGUUCCGGUGAGCUACGAAGCUUGAAGUCCUGCACCUCAUGGUUAUAAAAGACUGAAAUGCCAUGGCUUUGCUCUUUCUUUCUCUUAGAGUCCAAGUUCUGCCUGUUGCUGCCACUGGAGAUGUUACUAGUGCUGCUGCAUUUUGUGACUCAAUGGGCUUUUUGGAAAGCAAGUUGAGUCUUUCCUACUCAGCGUCUGUGUGUGGUAUUGGGUUUUAUGUAAUAGGGCUUGAUGUUCUGUGGGCUUAAUUGUAUUUUUAUAGAUCUGAAUUAUGUAGCUAUUAGCUCUUUUUUGAGCUUUAAUGGAAGAUUUUUUCAAUUUAAAAAAAAAAAAAAAAAAAAAAA
rnacentral:misc_RNA from 1 species